CUCCCUUAAUUUAUCAAGUUGCAAAUACUAUGUAAUCAAAGAAUGAUUAUAUUCCUAUACCCAUGUCUUGAAACGACAAAAUAACAACAUAGAAAACAAUGUAAACAUAAUCAAACAAAUGCUAAUCAACGAUAUUUUCGAUGUAUAUUUAAAAUCACUGAUACAUAAUAAACCCAAUAGAACUAAUUGGGGUGUUUCGAAGAAUUAAGUAGAGAGGAUUAAUAUGGACUCGAAAACAAGAGAUCCUUCAUCAAAUUCCUCGAGCCCCAUAAAGUCCAAUGGAAGCAACCUUCUUGACUCUUUUGAACUCCAAGCAAUAACACAACAGCUUAACCGCGCAAUCUGUGCCUCGAAUGGCUUGUCGUCGUCUCCUCGCUUGAGCUACCUCGUAAAAUCUCCGUUCUAUCUCAGUCGACUGGACCGGAUAUAUAAAGAGAAUGCAAAGAUGUCCAAGAAAAUUUCUUGCUCCAAAAGAGAUUUUGGAGAGGGUCGAAGUGGAAAAGAUGCAAAAGGAGCAAGAGGAUUUGUGCUAUUGAUAUGGAAUAAGGUAAAGCAGCGAUUUGUAACUUGUAAGAGUUAAUAAAAGACAUAGUUAAAGGUCCAAUUGAAUAUGUAGAUUGAACUUUAUUGUAAUAUUGUGUGUAUAUGUAACUUAAUUUUCUGUCGUCGCCGUUGGUAAUGUACUUUUAUUGUUGUUGUUCACGAAC
rnacentral:lncRNA from 1 species